CAACCUGAGCUCAGUCGUGAUUACCCGCCGAACUUAAGCAUAUCAUUCAGCGGAGGAAAAGAAACUAACUAGGAUUCCCCAAGUAAUGGCGAAUGAAAGGGGAAGAGCCCAGCGCUGAAUCUCUCGGUCUUAGGCCGCUGAGAACUGUAGCGUAUAGGUGUGACUGUCCUGCUAUAUUGCAUUUCCGAAGUCUCUUUGAUAGGGGCCAACAUCCAGAGAGGGUGCGAGACCUGUACGGAAAGUAGUAUAGUUGGUAUGGUUACUCCUUGGAGUCGGGUUGCUUGAAAGUGCAGCCUAAAGUUGGUGAUAAACUUCAUCUAAGGUCUAAAUAUCGACGCGA
rnacentral:ncRNA from 1 species